AGUUUGGCGUUGAAAUCAAUUACUAGUUUAUAUGGGUAUAUAGUUGGCUAUUUAUGUCCAAGUUCAGGAAAGACACUAGAUUUGAAGAAAAACAAUUAGUAGCCAAUAGCUUGUAGAUGACAUUUAAAGGCAUGGGACAGAAUGAGCUCAUCUGAGGAAAGAAGAUAGUUAAAGAACAGGGCCAAGGGCCAAGCUGUGGCCUUAAGCCAAUAUUUUGAGGUCAGGAAAAGAAGAAAUUCAACAUAAGGAAUGACAAUGAGCUAGGAAAAGCAGAAAGGAUGUGACCAACUGUGUUAAAUGCUGCCAAGAGGUAAAACAUGAUGAAGUCCAGUAAUUGACUGUAGGGUCUGGUAGGACAGAGGUCAUGGUUGCUGAUCUAAAAGAAAACUGUUUUGUAGCAAUACUGGAGAUGCAAGCCUCAGUAAAGUGAGCUGAAGGACAUAAACAUAACCAAUAAGAAAGAAGAGGUGUAGACAAUUGUUUCCAGGAGUAUAGCUUUAAAAGCAGAGAAAAAGAUAAGUUGGUAGAUGGUAUGUGGAAGACAUACUGUUGAGAGACUGAGUUUUAUUUCUUUGUUUUAUUGUUUCUUUUAGAAUGGCUGAUAUUAGACAUGCAUGUGCAUACAGCAAAGGGAGUAACCCAAUAGUGAGGAAGAAAUUGAUGCUGUAGGAGAGAGGGAAUAAUUGCCGAAGCAAAGAUCUUGAGGUACUGAGAAAGGAUGACCUUAAUUUCCUUAAUGAUGCAGCCUGCUUCCACCGAGGGACUGAAGGCUCUUUGAGCAAAAUUAUCUACCUGUUCACCUUUGGAUCUUUCACAGUUCCCAGGUGUCUUACUGGAAGGCUGUGGGCCGAUGCCAGGUGACAUGAUAGACAAUUACUGGACUAAUUUGCAAAGCGCAUUUCUGAAGUCACAUUUUUUGCUUGACAUGGAUUCCAUCUUCACAGAGAAGGACACUGCAACACUGCUGUAAUGAACACAGGGAAGGCAUUGUUGUGCUGGGAGCUGAGGAAACAAAUCCUGAGACACUAAGUGAUUUGCCCAAGGCCACGCCGUGUCAAAGCCGAAGAAAACUCAAGGACAAUGACUUCCAAGUCUGCUGUGGGUGUCCCUGUCUUUCCUCUCUGGUCCCAUUUAAACUCCGGGUUUAAUUCGAUCUUCAUAUGACUAUGUCCCUCCACUAGCAAAUGUGGAACAACUUGAAGAAAAUGGAGACCAUAACUCCUGCCUCAACUGCCUCACAUGGGGAUUAUGAGGAAAACAAUAAGAAGAUUUAAUAAAAAUGGACUCAGACUGUUACUGAUUUUCCAUACAGGUGCUAGUAAUUGGGUGAGUAGAGGAUAUGAGAAAUGAAGAGCCCUGGAAUUGAAGUCAGAUGUGAAUCAGAAUUCUGACUCCCCCUCUCAUUAGCUGUGUAACCUUGAACACUUAAUCUCACAAAACCACGGUUUCUUUUUCUGUAAAAAAAGAAUGACAGACUGGGUGCGGUAACUCAGGCCUGUAAUCCCAGCACUUUGGGAGGCUGAGGUGGGCGAAUCACGAGGUCAGGGGUUCGAGACCAGCCUGGCCAACAUGGUGAAACCCCGUCUCUACUAAAAAUACAAAAAACUGCCAGGCGUGGUGGUGGGCACCUGUAAUCCCAACUACUAGGGAGGCUGAGGCAGGAGAAUCAUUUGAACGCGGGAGGUGGAGGUUGCAGUGAGCCAUUGCACUCCAGCCUGGGUGAUAUGGUGAGGCUCCAUCUCGAAAAAAUAAAUAAAUAAAUAAAAUAACAAAAAUGCAUGCCCAGUAGCAGGAAUGGAAGUAGCCUAAACUACCAUCCACAGGGGACCAGCUAAAUAAGGAUGCUCUGCCUGUACAGUCAGAGAGGAGCGCCUUCUACUCUCUUCAGGUUUCCGUGCAAAGGAGUUUUUUAAGCACCCUGAUGAUCUUGCUUUUUCCCUUGACUCGCUCCACCUGUGAGAAGGUGGUAUCACUUAUCUGACUGGUAGAUCUUGUCUCAACUGUACUUUUCAUUUUGGGAACUGCUGCAGGCUACACAACAAGAUCUAUAUGCACAGCUUCAGUAAUAACAAGCUUGCUUGACUAUUCACAUAAAACUCUAACUUCUAGUCUUGCCUCUGUCUGCAAUAAA
rnacentral:lncRNA from 1 species